GGUGGUUUGUCGCGUCGUUUGUGUAAGCCCGCAGCUUAACUGCGGGACUGCAGGCGAUACGGGCAUAACUUGAGUGCUGUAGGGGAGACUGGAAUUCCUGGUGUAGCGGUGGAAUGCGCAGAUAUCAGGAGGAACACCGAUGGCGAAGGCAGGUCUCUGGGCAGUAACUGACGCUGAGGAGCGAAAGCAUGGGUAGCGAACAGGAUUAGAUACCCUGGUAGUCCAUGCCGUAAACGAUGGGCGCUAGGUGUGAGUCCCUUCCACGGGGUUCGUGCCGUAGCUAACGCAUUAAGCGCCCCGCCUGGGGAGUACGGCCGCAAGGCUAAAACUCAAAGGAAUUGACGGGGGCCCGCACAAGCGGCGGAGCAUGUGGAUUAAUUCGAUGCAACGCGAAGAACCUUACCUGGGCUUGACAUACACCAGAUCGCCGUAGAGAUACGGUUUCCCUUUGUGGUUGGUGUACAGGUGGUGCAUGGUUGUCGUCAGCUCGUGUCGUGAGAUGUUGGGUUAAGUCCCGCAACGAGCGCAACCCUUGUCUUAUGUUGCCAGCAAUUCGGUUGGGGACUCGUGAGAGACUGCCGGGGUUAACUCGGAGGAAGGUGGGGAUGACGUCAA
rnacentral:rRNA from 1 species